rnacentral:rRNA from 1 species
UACGAAGGGGGCUAGCGUUGCUCGGAAUUAUUGGGCGUAAAGGGCGCGUAGGCGGGUUUUUAAGUCAGGGGUGAAAUCCUGGAGCUCAACUCCAGAACUGCCUUUGAUACUGAAGAUCUUGAGUCCGGGAGAGGUGAGUGGAACUGCGAGUGUAGAGGUGAAAUUCGUAGAUAUUCGCAAGAACACCAGUGGCGAAGGCGGCUCACUGGCCCGGUACUGACGCUGAGGCACGAAAGCGUGGGGAGCAAACAGG